CAAGGUUUCCGUAGGUGAACCUGCGGAAGGAUCAUUAGUGAAUAAACAAGCAGGUUGUGCUGACCAUUCGUGGUAUGUGCACACUUGCUAAUGUUUCAUUCCAUUCUCCACCUGUGCACUCUGUGUAGUCUGUUGCAUUGCUGUUGUCAGAUUUAUAUCAAGUCUGGUUAAGGGAAGUUGCUUGUUUCUCAACAGGCUCUUCUGGGGCAUGCACAGUCUACGUUUAUCAUCAACACUAUAUGAAUGUCAUAGAAUGUAUCUGGGCCUUAUGUGCCUUUAAAUCAUAAUACAACUUUCAACAACGGAUCUCUUGGCUCUCGCAUCGAUGAAGAACGCAGCGAAAUGCGAUAAGUAAUGUGAAUUGCAGAAUUCAGUGAAUCAUCGAAUCUUUGAACGCACCUUGCGCUCCUUGGUAUUCCGAGGAGCAUGCCUGUUUGAGUGUCAUUAAAUUCUCAAUCCUGUGUAAUCUUGUGUUGCAUGACGAUUGGAUUUUGGGGGUUUGCUGGCUUGUUCAGCUCCCCUUAAAAGCAUUAGCAGGGCAAUGAUGCCAUCUGUGCUGUGUAUGAUAUGUAUCUAUACAUUGUGCAGGUUGGGUACAUCUGCUUCAACUGUCAUUUAUGACAUUUGACUAAUUUGACCUCAAAUCAGGUAGGACUACCCGCUGAACUUAAGCAUA
rnacentral:rRNA from 1 species